GGGAGACACCUUUACAGAUGGAGAUUUCCUUUGCAAUUGUAAAUGUCUCUUAACAAAGGGAGUGCCCAAUUGGUUAUGCCAAGGUCAACUGUACCUGUCAAUCAGAAUGAGACAGGAGCAGGUGGAGUGGAGAGGACAAUUCUUAAGCUCCAACUGAGUUUACCUGAAAUUUUCCCAGGACAACCUUAACCCCGAGUGGAUUUUGUACACAUUGACUGUAUGGAUAUCUUCUGACACCAACAUCAGACCUAUGGAACUGGAAUCAGAGCAGCAAUAUACCUUCACCAUCAUGUCUUGGAUCACAACUACCACCUGUUUCUGUGCCACAAUUUAGUUUGCAGUGACAUCAAAAUCUCAGUAUCCCAUGACAAGGCAUCAUGUUGGCUCACCAUUUUAAUAACACACUGAUCAUAGGACCUGGAGAGAAGAAGUAGCAGGAAUAGUGUUGCC